GCGCACCAGGCGCGAAACUUUACAAUGUGCGAAAGCACGAUAAGGGAACUCUGAGUGCCUCCUAAGGAGGCUGUUCAGGUGUCUAAAAGCACCUGGAGUAAGGGCUGGGUAAGACCGGUGCCAGCCGCCGCGGUAACACCGGCAGCCCAGGUGGUAGCCACUUUUAUUGGGUCUAAAGCGUCCGUAGCCGGUUGAGUAAGUUCCUUGGGAAAUUUGGCUGCUCAACAGUCAAGCUUCCAGGGAAUACUGCUCGACUUGGGACUGGGAGAGGUCAGAGGUACUCCAGGGGUAGGGGUGAAAUCCAUUAAUCCCUGGGGGACCACCGGUAGCGAAGGCGUCUGACCAGACCAGGUCCGACGGUGAGGGACGAAGGCUAGGGUCGCGAACCGGAUUAGAUA
rnacentral:rRNA from 1 species